GGGUAUAUAGCUCAGUGGUGGAGUGUGUGCUUAGCAUGCAUGAGGUCCUGGGUUCAAUCCCCAGUACCUCCA
rnacentral:tRNA from 1 species